rnacentral:rRNA from 1 species
GACGAACGCUGGCGGCGUGCCUAACACAUGCAAGUCGAGCGAGGGAAACUCUUCGGAGUGGAACUAGCGGCGGACGGGUGAGUAACACGUGGGCAACCUGCCUCGUAGAGGGGAAUAGCCUUUCGAAAGGAAGAUUAAUACCCCAUAAGAUUGUAGUUCCGCAUGGAAUAGCAAUUAAAGGAGCAAUCCGCUACGAGAUGGGCCCGCGUCGCAUUAGCUAGUUGGUAAGGUAAUGGCUUACCAAGGCGACGAUGCGUAGCCGACCUGAGAGGGUGAUCGGCCACAUUGGGACUGAGACACGGCCCAGACUCCUACGGGAGGCAGCAGUGGGGAAUAUUGCACAAUGGGGGAAACCCUGAUGCAGCAACGCCGCGUGAGUGAUGACGGUCUUCGGAUUGUAAAGCUCUGUCUUCAGGGACGAUAAUGACGGUACCUGAGGAGGAAGCCACGGCUAACUACGUGCCAGCAGCCGCAGUAAGAC